GACGGAGGGAGCAAGCGUUGUUCGGAUUUACCGGGCGUAAAGGGCGUCUAGGCGGACAGGUAAGUCAGAUGUGAAAACCCCCGGCUCAACCGGGGACCUGCAUUUGAUACUGCCAGUCUUGAGUACGGAAGAGGAAAGCGGAAUUCCUGGUGUAGCGGUGAAAUGCGUGGAUAUCAGGAAGAACACCGGUGGCGAAGGCGGCUUUCUGGUCCGAUACUGACGCUAAAGCGCGAAAGUGUGGGGAGCAAACAGGAUUAGAUACCCUGGUGGUCCACACUGUAAACGAUGGAUACUAGGUGUCGGGGGUAUCGACCCCUCCGGUGCCGCAGCUAACGCAUUAAGUAUCCCGCCUGGGGAGUACGGUCGCAAGGCUGAA
rnacentral:rRNA from 1 species